GUGUUACUAGGAAGAGNGUCUUAAUAACAUUAUGUAAAACAGAGUGCAAAGACAAAUAUGAAUGUGGAAGAGGUUUUCUUCUCGAUAGCCAGGGAUAUAAAGCAAAGACUUGCUGAAACUGACUCAAGGGCAGAGGUAUCGAAUGCUUGUUUUUACCUGUCAGGAAUGUCUUUGUACGUUUGUGCAUAAUCUUGGGUAUGGACUAUCUGUUUUUGGAUUAUUGCAGCCUCAAACCAUUAGGAUUACCCAACCGGACCAGACAGCAGGGGCAUCUCAAGCUAGCCAAAAAUCAGCUUGCUGUGGUUCUUGAGGGAUUCCAUUGGAAAUACGUCCUAAAACUGACCAUUUUGACGGAGGAACUAGUUUUAAUAUGACAAUAUCGAUGUUGCUCCUAUUGUUAUCCCUCAUUAUUUAUAGUUGAUUCACAAUGGGUUUCGAUGGCAGAUCUUAUCAACGUUUUAUUAGAUUUGACUCUGUUUUUGGUUAAAUGAUUUCUAAGUCAAGUGUAAAGCUCAAUACAAUCGUACAAAUAGGGGGAAAAACUUGCGUGAAGUUGUGAACACUUUAUCGUUAUAUUGUUCGAACAAUUUUAAGGUAUCGUGUUAUCCACUUGCGGUCCCCACACCCUCUCGCGCCCCGGUUUUCGUCUCCUG
rnacentral:lncRNA from 1 species